rnacentral:rRNA from 1 species
GAUGAACGCUGGCGGCGUGCCUAAUACAUGCAAGUCGAGCGAACAGACGAGGAGCUUGCUCCUCUGACGUUAGCGGCGGACGGGUGAGUAACAUGUGGAUAACCUACCUAUAAGACUGGGAUAACUUCGGGAAACCGGAGCUAAUACCGGAUAAUAUAUUGAACCGCAUGGUUCAAUAGUGAAAGACGGUUUUGCUGUCACUUAUAGAUGGAUCCGCGCCGCAUUAGCUAGUUGGUAAGGUAACGGCUUACCAAGGCAACGAUGCGUAGCCGACCUGAGGGGGUGAUCGGCCACACUGGAACUGAGACACGGUCCAGACUCCUACGGGAGGCAGCAGUAGGGAAUCUUCCGCAAUGGGCGAAAGCCUGACGGAGCAACGCCGCGUGAGUGAUGAAGGUCUUCGGAUCGUAAAACUCUGUUAUUAGGGAAGAACAAAUGUGUAAGUAACUAUGCACGUCUUGACGGUACCUAAUCAGAAAGCCACGGCUAACUACGUG